AGUUUCUUUUCAUCUCUAGCUCAAUUCCUCAACAAAGUGAAGAAUAAAUAAAUAUGGGAUGAUUGACAGAAUUCUAAAUGAGGUGGCAAAGUUUAAAACAUAUACAACAGAAUGCACAUCUCUCGUCUCAUUCUUGAAUUACUUUCUUCAUGUGUAUGCAUUGGCAUUUUAAAUCAAGGGUGUUACAAGAAACUGCCUAGUCUUAUGUUUUCUUCUACAGACAUUACCAUAACUGACCAAUAUUUUAGGGCAAAAUGAGUCCCUGAUGAAGUGAGUUGUUCCUUGUGGAUUUUAUCUUGGUUGCCACUGGUAAGAUAAAAGACCCAGUAUCCUAGUUAGUCUUCUAGAAGUUCACAUUCAUACCACUACUGCUUUGUUUAUUAUUACAGGAUUAAAAUCACAUUUGUAUUUCCACGUGUGUGAAGCCAUUUCUUACUUUCCACUUGUAAGCAACAAGAGGCAAGACUAGGGAGAUGCGUGAUGGAAGAGCAGAUCCUAGAAUGGAAAAUACCUGAACUAGCAUGUCUGCUGUCCUGAAGAAACCUUCUGUGCCCACUUAUUGCAAAUAUUACAGAGUUUGGAAGAUCACCCUGUACCAGAACAGAAUGAUGAAUGGAAAAAAAAUAGAAAUAGUUGGAGAAGAGAUGACUUCAUUACAGUGAUUACUUUAACCACUGAAGACUUAUUCAUGUUGAUGCCAGGAGUUGAGUCAAAGUUUCAAGAUUCUGAAGAAGAGCAGGGCUGGCACAUAACAGCUGCAACCGAGAAACCAAACCACCUGAAGAGUUUCUGGCAGACAGUG